GGGAGGGAUUGGGUGCCUUACAUGGCACGACAACUUGGUGGACAUGAGAGUUUAUUCCAAUGGAGGACAAUAUUUAUAUCUACACGUGGAUGCAGCUACAUUAGCUCAAUAUGCAAAGAAGAAUGGUCUUCUUCAUAAUAAGGGAAAGCUGACGAUUCUUGUGGUUUCUAUUGCAGUAAUGUUGCUUAUUGUGGCUUCCAUAGUGUAUUGGUUCAUAAUGAGGAAGAUAAAGGGUAAGUAAAACAUGACUUUUAAAGCAGUUUCUUCAAUUCUUUUGCACUUUGAGAAUUUCUAACUGCAUUUGACGACAGA